GUCCCCAUCGUCUAGCGGCCCAGGACAUCGGCCUCUCACGCCGAAAACGCGGGUUCGAUUCCCGCUGGGGACACCA
rnacentral:tRNA from 2 species